rnacentral:rRNA from 1 species
GGUUUCCUACGGGAGGCAGCAGAGGGGAAAAUUGAAAAAUGGGGGAAACCCUGAUGCAGCAACGCCGCGUGAGUGAUGACGGCCUUCGGGUUGUAAAGCUCUGUCUUCAGGGACGAUAAUGACGGUACCUGAGGAGGAAGCCACGGCUAACUACGUGCCAGCAGCCGCGGUAAUACGUAGGUGGCGAGCGUUGUCCGGAUUUACUGGGCGUAAAGGGAGCGUAGGCGGACUUUUAAGUGAGAUGUGAAAACCUCGGGCUCAACUUGAGUGCUGCAUUUCAAACUGGAAGUCUAGAGUGCAGGAGG